rnacentral:rRNA from 1 species
CGAAUGCUGACAUAAGUAACGAUAAAGCGGGUGAAAAGCCCGCUCGCCGGAAGACCAAGGGUUCCUGUCCAACGUUAAUCGGGGCAGGGUGAGUCGACCCCUAAGGCGAGGCCGAAAGGCGUAGUCGAUGGGAAACAGGUUAAUAUUCCUGUACUUGGUGUUACUGCGAAGGGGGGACGGAGAAGGCUAUGUUGGCCGGGCGACGGUUGUCCCGGUUUAAGCGUGUAGGCUGGUUUUCCAGGCAAAUCCGGAAAAUCAAGGCUGAGGCGUGAUGACGAGGCACUACGGUGCUGAAGCAACAAAUGCCCUGCUUCCAGGAAAAGCCUCUAAGCAUCAGGUAACAUCAAAUCGUACCCCAAACCGACACAGGUGGUCAGGUAGAGAAUACCAAGGCGCUUGAGAGAACUCGGGUGAAGGAACUAGGCAAAAUGGUGCCGUAACUUCGGGAGAAGGCACGCUGAUAUGUAGGUGAAGUCCCUCGCGGAUGGAGCUGAAAUCAGUCGAAGAUACCAGCUGGCUGCAACUGUUUAUUAAAAACACAGCACUGUGCAAACACGAAAGUGGACGUAUACGGUGUGACGCCUGCCCGGUGCCGGAAGGUUAAUUGAUGGGGUUAGCGCAAGCGAAGCUCUUGAUCGAAGCCCCGGUAAACGGCGGCCGUAACUAUAACGGUCCUAAGGUAGCGAAAUUCCUUGUCGGGUAAGUUCCGACCUGCACGAAUGGCGUAAUGAUGGCCAGGCUGUCUCCACCCGAGACUCAGUGAAAUUGAACUCGCUGUGAAGAUGCAGUGUACCCGCGGCAAGACGGAAAGACCCCGUGAACCUUUACUAUAGCUUGACACUGAACAUUGAGCCUUGAUGUGUAGGAUAGGUGGGAGGCUUUGAAGUGUGGACGCCAGUCUGCAUGGAGCCGACCUUGAAAUACCACCCUUUAAUGUUUGAUGUUCUAACGUUGACCCGUAAUCCGGGUUGCGGACAGUGUCUGGUGGGUAGUUUGACUGGGGCGGUCUCCUCCUAAAGAGUAACGGAGGAGCACGAAGGUUGGCUAAUCCUGGUCGGACAUCAGGAGGUUAGUGCAAUGGCAUAAGCCAGCUUGACUGCGAGCGUGACGGCGCGAGCAGGUGCGA